GCCACCAUAGCUCAGUGGUUAGAGCACUGUCUUUCGCUCCAGAGUGCGCGAGUUCAAUCCUCACUGGUGGCU